GCGUCUCUUUAGCUCAGCACACACCUGUCACACAGCAACAUGCUGCCAGCAAAUCUAUUGAUCAUGUCCAUGGCCGUCUUUUUGACAACAGCAGUUUCUACCGCUCCCUUGGAGGAGAAGGAGCUGGAGGAGGUGGAGGUUGAGGCCACAGA